rnacentral:rRNA from 1 species
GGMWGGUUCUAGCUGUUUCAUUGGYUGUASGCGACGGCCUGRGRAUCCCGCCUCAGGGUCGAUAUGUUCCCAAUUCGCCCUUARAGUUUGAUCCUGGCUCAKAACRAACGCUGGCGGCGUGCUUAACACAUGCAAGUCGAACGUGAUCCGGAGCUUGCUCCGGUGAAAGUGGCGCACGGGUGAGUAACGCGUGGAUAACCUGCCCUGGUAUCUGGGAUAACAUCUCGAAAGGGGUGCUAAUACCGGAUAAGCCCACGGACUCCUCGGAGUCUGCGGGAAAAGGUGGCCUCUAUUUAUAAGCUACCGUAUCAGGAUGGGUCCGCGUACCAUUAGCUAGUUGGUGGGGUAAUGGCCCACCAAGCCUACGAUGGUUAGCUGGUCUGAGAGGAUGAUCAGCCACACUGGAACUGARACACGGUCCAGACUCCUACGGGAGGCAGCAGUGGGGAAUUUUGCGCAAUGGGGGAAACCCUGACGCAGCAACGCCGCGUGAGUGAUGAAGGCUUUCGGGUCGUAAAGCUCUGUCAGAGGGGAAGAAAUGGGUCGUGCUAAUAUCACGGCUUCUUGACGGUACCCUCAAAGGAAGCACCGGCUAACUCCGUGCCAGCAGCCGCGGUAAUAC